GAUGAACGCUGGCGGCGUGCCUAAUACAUGCAAGUCGAGCGAACGGACGAGAAGCUUGCUUCUCUGAUGUUAGCGGCGGACGGGUGAGUAACACGUGGAUAACCUACCUAUAAGACUGGGAUAACUUCGGGAAACCGGAGCUAAUACCGGAUAAUAUUUUGAACCGCAUGGUUCAAAAGUGAAAGACGGUCUUGCUGUCACUUAUAGAUGGAUCCGCGCUGCAUUAGCUAGUUGGCAAGGUAACGGCUUACCAAGGCAACGAUGCAUAGCCGACCUGAGAGGGUGAUCGGCCACACUGGAACUGAGACACGGUCCAGACUCCUACGGGAGGCAGCAGUAGGGAAUUUUCCGCAAUGGGCGAAAGCCUGACGGAGCAACGCCGCGUGAGUGAUGAAGGUCUUCGGAUCGUAAAACUCUGUUAUUAGGGAAGAACAUAUGUGUAAGUAACUGUGCACAUCUUGACGGUACCUAAUCAGAAAGCCACGGCUAACUACGUG
rnacentral:rRNA from 1 species